rnacentral:rRNA from 1 species
GACGAACGCUGGCGGCGUGCCUAAUACAUGCAAGUCGAACGCACAGUUUAUACCGUAGCUUGCUACACCAUAGACUGUGAGUUGCGAACGGGUGAGUAACGCGUAGGUAACCUGCCUGGUAGCGGGGGAUAACUAUUGGAAACGAUAGCUAAUACCGCAUAAUAUUAAUUAUUGCAUGAUAAUUAAUUGAAAGGUGCAAUUGCACCACUACCAGAUGGACCUGCGUUGUAUUAGCUAGUAGGUGAGGUAACGGCUCACCUAGGCGACGAUACAUAGCCGGCCUGAGAGGGUGAUCGGCCACACUGGGACUGAGACACGGCCCAGACGCCUACGGGAGGCAGCAGUAGGGAAUCUUCGGCAAUGGACGAAAGUCUGACCGAGAAACGCCGCGGGAGUGAAGAAGGGUGUCGGAUCGUAAAGCUCUGUUGUAAGAGAAGAACGGGUGUGAGAGUGGAAAGUUCACACUGUGACGGUAGCUUACCAGAAAGGGACGGCUAACUACGUG